UACGUAGGGCGCAAGCGUUGUCCGGAAUUAUUGGGCGUAAAGAGCUCGUAGGCGGCUUGUCACGUCGGAUGUGAAAGCCCGAGGCUUAACCUCGGGUCUGCAUUCGAUACGGGCUAGCUAGAGUGUGGUAGGGGAGAUCGGAAUUCCUGGUGUAGCGGUGAAAUGCGCAGAUAUCAGGAGGAACACCGGUGGCGAAGGCGGGUCUCUGGGCAGUAACUGACGCUGAGGAGCGAAAGCGUGGGGAGCGAACAGG
rnacentral:rRNA from 1 species